rnacentral:lncRNA from 1 species
GCAGUGUGGAUUUGCAAAUCAGACCACCUGGGUUCAGAUCUUAGAUGUCCAGCUCGCCGCUGUCCAAGAAACGUCGCGUGUCCGGGCCUGAUCCAAAGCCGGGUUCUAACUGCUCCCCUGCCCAGUCCGUGUUGUCCGAAGUGCCCUCGGUGCCAACCAACGGAAUGGCCAAGAACGGCAGUGAAGCAGACAUAGACGAGGGCCUUUACUCCCGGCAGCUGUAAGUG